CCUACGGGUGGCAGCAGUGAGGAAUAUUGCUCAAUGGGCGAGAGCCUGAACCAGCCAAGUCGCGUGAGGGACGACGGUCCUAUGGAUUGUAAACCUCUUUUGUCGGGGAACAAAUGCGCCCACGUGUGGGCGAAUGAGUGUACCCGAAGAAAAAGCAUCGGCUGACUCCGUGCCAGCAGCCGCGGUAAUCCGGAGGAUGCGAGCGUUAUCCGGUUUUAUUGGGUUUAAAGGGUGCGUAGGCGGAGAGUCAAGUCAGAGGUAAAAACGCGGUCCUCAACGCCGUACAGCCGUUGAAACUGGCAGGCUGGAGUGGGCGAGAAGUAUGCGGAAUGCGUGGUGUAGCGGUGAAAUGCAUAGAUAUCACGCAGAACUCCGAUUGCGAAGGCAGCAUACCGGCGCCCGACUGACGCUGAGGCACGAAAGCGUGGGUAGCGAACAGGAUUAGAUACCCUUGUAGUC
rnacentral:rRNA from 1 species